UUAGGGGAGCCUGUCUCGUAAACGAUAAUCCCCGUGAGACCUUACCUUAUGUUGCUAAGUUUAUAUACCGUCGUCGGCAGUUAACUUCUAAGAAAAUAGGCGUUAGCUUAAUAGCGGAAGUAAGCUAUUACGUCAGAUCGAGGUGUAGCUAAUACUAGGGAAGUGAUGGGCUACAGUUAAAAUUUAUAACACGGAAUAAGAAAUGAAAUUUUCCUAUGAAGGCGGACUUAGCAGUAAUUAAAUUUAUAGAAAUUUAAUGAAAUUAUUUUAGAGUGUGU
rnacentral:rRNA from 1 species